AAUCAACGCUGGCGGCGUGCCUAACACAUGCAAGUCGAACGCGAAGACCCCGAAAGGGGUUGGUAGCGUGGCAAACGGGUGAGUAACACGUGGGUGACCUGCCUUCGAGCGGGGAUAACGUCCCGAAAGGGACGCUAAUACCGCAUGACAUCCUGCCUUUGAAGAGGUGGAGAUCAAAGCCGGGGAUCGCAAGACCUGGCACUUGAAGAGGGGCCCGCGCCUGAUUAGCUAGNGGUGAGGUAACGGCUCACCAAGGCAACGAUCAGUAUCCGGCCUGAGAGGGCGGACGGACACACUGGGACUGAGACACGGCCCAGACUCCUACGGAGGCAGCAGUGGGGAAUAUUGCGCAAUGGGCGAAAGCCUGACGCAGCGACGCCGCGUGGGGGAUGAAGCAUUUCGGUGUGUAAACCCCUGUUGCUCGGGACGAACAACUGGUUUUGACCAGUCUGACGGUACCGGGUGAGGAAGCACCGGCUAACUCCGUGCCAGCCGCCGCGGU
rnacentral:rRNA from 1 species